AAACCACAUCCCACGCAUCUGUGUUCACUCGCCGCCAUUGCUCUCUCUCUCUCUCUCUCUCUCUCUCUCUCA
rnacentral:sRNA from 1 species